UACGUAGGGUGCAAGCGUUGUCCGGAAUUAUUGGGCGUAAAGAGCUCGUAGGCGGGUUGUCGCGUCUGCUGUGAAAACUCAGGGCUUAACCCUGAGCUUGCAGUGGGUACGGGCAGACUAGAGUGCGGUAGGGGAGACUGGAAUUCCUGGUGUAGCGGUGAAAUGCGCAGAUAUCAGGAGGAACACCGGUGGCGAAGGCGGGUCUCUGGGCCGUAACUGACGCUGAGGAGCGAAAGCAUGGGGAGCGAACAGG
rnacentral:rRNA from 1 species